GCGCACCAGGCGCGAAUCCUUCGCAAUGCGGGAAACCGCGACGAGGGACUCCCAGUGCCUACGCUCAGCGUAGGCUGUUCCCGAGCCUAGAAAGCUCGGGGAGUAAGGGCUGGGUAAGACGGGUGCCAGCCGCCGCGGUAAUACCCGCAGCCCGAGUGGUGGCCACUAUUAUUGGGCCUAAAGCGUCCGUAGCCGGCCCGGUAAAUGCCUGGGUAAAUCGUGAGGCCUAACCUCACGAAUUCCGGGUAGACUGCCGGGGCUAGGGACCGGAGGAGGGAGAGGGUACUCCAGGGGUAGGGGUGAGAUCCUGUAAUCCCUGGAGGACCACCGGUGGCGAAGGCGCUCUCCUAGGACGGGUCCGACGGUGAGGGACGAAAGCCAGGGGAGCGAACCGGAUUAGAUACCCGUGUAGU
rnacentral:rRNA from 1 species